UAGAAAUAUUACUUAAUCUGCUAAAUUAGGUUUGGGGAAGUUAUUUCUCCGUUUCUGU
rnacentral:tRNA from 1 species